CAGUCGCCGCGGUAAUACGAAGGGUGCAAGCGUUAAUCGGAAUUACUGGGCGUAAAGCGUGCGUAGGCGGUGAGUUAAGUCUGCUGUGAAAUCCCCGGGCUCAACCUGGGAAUGGCAGUGGAUACUGGCUCGCUAGAGUGUGUCAGAGGAUGGUGGAAUUCCCGGUGUAGCGGUGAAAUGCGUAGAGAUCGGGAGGAACAUCAGUGGCGAAGGCGGCCAUCUGGGACAACACUGAGGCUGAGGCACGAAAGCGUGGGGAGCAAACAGGAUUAGAUACCCCGGUAGUCCCUGUCUCUUAUAC
rnacentral:rRNA from 1 species